UUUUAGCUCAGGAAGGCAUUAGGUUCUACAAUAUUUCCUCAGGGUACGAAACCUCACAAUGAAGCAUGUACAUAGGGCUUUGGUCCCCGUGGCCAAUAACCACACCCGGCAUAGGUAGGUUUUCUAUAAAUCAGGAUCUGUUCUCCUAUCUUGGCGUGGGUCCAGGUUCUGCAGGCAGAAGUUGUGAGUGGCUCCUGUCACUCACAGUUUCAAUGAGCUGCUGCUGGAAGGCAGAGCGUUAGCUGGGGUAGUGAAUGGCACUCCAGGAAACAGACAUCUCCCAGUACCAGCGCAUGCAGAAUGGGCAAGGUUCUUGAUUUGGAGCUGGAAGAGCCAAGCUUCUGCAAUUCUAGCCACAGGCGCGUGUCUCUGAAAAACCACAUUUCAUGUCUCCUAGCUUAAUUCCUUAUGUGCAAACUGAUACAGCAGCCCAGUCAAGAAACACAUGGCUCGGAAAGGUCUAUAAAGCUCCCUCACUUGCCUUCUCCUCUGGCUGCUUGUGUCUCCUCUAUUUUCUGUCCCAUUAUCCUCCUAGUUUAUGACAUGAGCUUCAAUCUGUGGCUUCUGAGCACUUGAGGCACAUUUGGUAUCUACUUGUUCACUCUGAUACUAAAACGUUCAUUAAAGCUGGAUUCUGUCUGGGCUUCGUGUUCCUGCUUUAUGACACUCUCAGGAGCAAUUUACUCAACACUCCACACCACAGAAAGCUGUGUUGUCUGGGCUGGCACACUAUGAAUAUAUUCCUCCAGAUUCAGAAAGCUCGUCAUAACCAAAGGCCAGAUGAGCACCAGCAGUGACUGCCAGCGUCUCUCUUCCAUGAUCAGCUCCGUUAUGUGUGCGCGAGACACUAUCUUGACAAGAGUGUACAGUCAACGGCUCCAGCGAUACCUUCUCAGGUGUGGACCCAGCGGUGAGAAGUGACUUGCCAGUUGGAAGCAGUCACUUCCAGCCAGGCCCCAUGCACCUGAGAUUCAUACACUGUGGAGGCUGGUCUGAGUUCUGCUAUGCAACCUAGACAGACUCAUGCUAGAAAUUGUUCCCCACUGGAGAAAUCCCUUUCUUCACUAAAAAGGGGUGGGGUUACAACAUGGUUAAGAAGCAGGGUGUUUGCCUCAUGUGCAUAGGCCUUGGGUUCUAUCUCAGAACCAAAAGCAACAGGCAGUUGCAAACAUUCAGCCCUCUGGACUCAUGAGCUGUACAUCUACGAUUCAAUCACAUACAUGGAAAGUAUUGGGGGGGGGGGCAGGAGAAUAUUUACACUGAAUAUGACCAAACUUUUCUUGUUUCCUGAACAACGCAGUAUGACACAAUAGUGCUAUAUUAUUAGUUGUUAUAAGUUAUUUGGGCAUGAUUUAGAGAAAUAAGGGAAGGGGCCAGAGAGAUGGUUCAGUGGUCAAAAGCACUGGGCGUUCUUGCAGAGGACCCAUGUUCAAUUGAAAAAAACACUGUCUGGGCUAAGGAGAUGUUUCUGUGGUUAAGAGUACCUGCUGCUCUUGCAGAAGACCUCAGUUUGGUUCCCAGCAUCCAAAUUACAUGGCUAUAAUUGCCUAUAAUUCCAGCUCCAAGAAAAUCUAACACCUCUGACCUCUGUGGGCACCCGAACUCACGCACUUGCAUUCACAUACAUGCCAACCGGCAUCACAGGCGUUUGUGUGUGCAGGUGUGAGCUCUCUCUCUCUCUCUCUCUCUCUCUCUCUCUCAUAAAAAUAGCUAAAUAAAUCUUUUUGAAAAAUCGGCAUUGUUAUUCACUUAUGUUUAAAAUACAUACAAAUGCUGAAAGAAGUUAGCAGAAUGUCAACUCAAAAUACAAAGCUGCACAGAGCUAAAGAUGCAUUGUGAUGAGAACGAUUAGGAAAGCACUCGCCCCCGUGGCAACCGUGUGUGAUUUGGCUCUGACCUCGUUCGGGCUCUCUGUCCGUGACUAUCUUGUAGAAAUAGAAGCCGUAGACGAAGGUUCGCCAUGCUUCUCCAGAUGCAUGCGCUAUGAGCUGCUCUUCCAGCAUUUUCUAGGAAAGACAAUGAAAACUUGAAAUUCUUGCAGCUGACGUCUUAAAGCAACAGCCCUUGCUUGUACAUAGCAGUCGAGGUAGCUGAGUGCCUGGAGAACUGAGUUCACACCUCGGAUCCCCAUCAGACAACAGCUAUGUAAAGCGGAAGCUGUUCUAAGGUAGAAAUGUAUGGAUUUCAUCAAACAUUCUGAACAUAUAGAAACCAUCCAAGUAGAUAACCAUCUAACCUCAAUAAAUUCAACAUUCUGCUAGGCAGAACACUCUUCAGGGAGUGUCUCCCAAGAUCCCCAAAGGAAAAUUAGUUGUGAUGCAUACCCAUGUAAUCCUACUGGGGAGGUGGAGGCAGGAGGAUGAGGGUUUCAAGGUCAUCUUGGUUCACUGCUGAUCUAACAGGGCUUUAAAAAAGUAAUUAAUAACAGUGCUCCUGGUUAGUUCUUUUUUUUCUAACCAGUGCUUCUUAAACUAUUCCACAAAAACAGAAAGAGAAAAGAUGUCAUCAAAUUCUUUUUAUGCAUUUUAAUCCUGUGCCCAUGGAUUAGGAUUAAUAUGAAGGGUACCUAACUAACCGGAAGCAGUCUACAGAUUCAAUGCAAUCCCAUUAAGUUCCAACAUCACUCUUCACAGAAGUAGGAAAAGAAUCUUCAAGUUUGUAUGGAUGCAUAGACAGCCAAUGCAAUCUUGAGCAGAAAGAACAGUGCUGAGGGACCACCAUAUUUGACCUUGAGGGACCACCGUAUUUGACCUUGUACUAUAGCACUCACUGGCACACACAAAACACACCAAUUACUGAAAUAUGGUGAGGACACACAACCACAUGCUUUUUGCAAAAACAGCAAAAAAAAAAACCAAAAAACAAAAAAAACCUCACUGAAGACAGUCGUCAACAAACAGGACUGGGAAGCUUGCGUCACCACUGUAGAAGAAUCAAACUAGAUCCCUAUCUCUCACCCUGGACAAAAAUCAACUCCCACUGAGUCAAGACCCUUAAUGCAAGACUUAGAACUCUGAAACUCCUAGAGAAAGAGGCAGAGAAAACACGUAAGAUCUAGGCAUAGGCAAGGACUUCCUGAAUAAGGCCCAGGAAAUAAUCUAACAACGGACAAACAUGACUUCAUGAGACUACAAACUAAUCUAAAAAGCUUUUCAACAGCAAAGGGACAGUGAGUGGACAGACAGCCUGCAGACAAAGAAAACCUUUGCAAGUUACACAUCUGACAUGUCUAAAAUUUGAAAAGAACUAAAAAUAAAAGAUAAAUGAAUGACCAAAAAUCAAACAACCACAUCAGUAAAUGGACAACUGAAAUGAAUGGAGUUAUCAAAUGGUGAAAUACAAAAUAGCCAAUUAAUGACAAAAAUGUUUAGAGGAAAAUGAAUUAAAUCUACAUGAGAGGGGCUGGGCUGGUUUUCAGAGAACUGGGAGUCUAUUCCCAGAACCUACAUGGCAGCUUACAAUGGUCUGCAACUAUAGUUGCAUAGGAUCUGACAUCCUCUUUUGGCCCGUGCAGACAUGUGGUGCACAUGUGGUGUACAGACAUACAUGUAAGGAAAACACCAAUAUACAUAAAGUUUUUUAUGUUAAACAAACAAACAAACAA